CUUAUUUUGCACCAAAAGAAGGAGAUGCAGCUUUUGAGCAACAAAGAACGGUCCUCUUGAAAUUGGAGCAAUUUCAUCUCCGAGCAAUGAAAUCAACAUUGACUGUUGAUUCAACUUUUCUCAAGCAAAUCCAGUCCAGUAUGUCCUCAGACCCUCUUGUUUAUGAUAUCGAGAAUAAUUCUUCCAAGUCUCAUGAUCCUUCUAAGUU
rnacentral:lncRNA from 1 species